rnacentral:rRNA from 1 species
CGGCGUGCUUAACACAUGCAAGUCGAACGAGAAGAGAUGAGAAGCUUGCUUCUUAUUAAUUCGAGUGGCAAACGGGUGAGUAACGCGUAAGCAACCUGCCCUUCAGAUGGGGACAACAGCUGGAAACGGCUGCUAAUACCGAAUACGUCUCUUUAUCGCAUGGUAGAGGGAAGAAAGGGAGGCUCUUCGGAGCUUUCGCUGGAGGAGGGGCUUGCGUCUGAUUAGCUAGUUGGAGGGGUAACGGCCCACCAAGGCGACGAUCAGUAGCCGGUCUGAGAGGAUGAACGGCCACAUUGGGACUGAGACACGGCCCAGACUCCUACGGGAGGCAGCAGUGGGGAAUCUUCCGCAAUGGACGAAAGUCUGACGGAGCAACGCCGCGUGAACGAUGACGGCCUUCGGGUUGUAAAGUUCUGUUAUACGGGACGAAUGGCGUAGCGGUCAAUACCCGUUACGAGUGACGGUACCGUAAGAGAAAGCCACGGCUAACUACGUG